UACGUAGGGGGCAAGCGUUAUCCGGAUUUACUGGGUGUAAAGGGAGCGUAGACGGCGAUGCAAGUCAGAUGUGAAAACCCGGGGCCCAACCCCGGGAGUGCAUUUGAAACUGUCUGGCUAGAGUGCAGGAGAGGUAAGUGGAAUUCCUAGUGUAGCGGUGAAAUGCGUAGAUAUUAGGAGGAACACCAGUGGCGAAGGCGGCUUACUGGACAGUAACUGACGUUGAGGCUCGAAAGCGUGGGGAGCAAACAGG
rnacentral:rRNA from 1 species